rnacentral:rRNA from 1 species
UACCAGCACCCCGAGUGGUCGGGACGAUUAUUGGGCCUAAAGCAUCCGUAGCCGGUCCUACAAGUCUUCCGUUAAAUCCACCUGCUUAACAGAUGGGCUGCGGAAGAUACUAUAGGGCUAGGAGGCGGGAGAGGCAAGCGGUACUCAGUGGGUAGGGGUAAAAUCCUCUGAUCCAUUGAAGACCACCAGUUGCGAAGGCGGCUUGCCAGAACGCGCUCGACGGUGAGGGAUGAAAGCUGGGGGAGCAAACCGG